UACGGAGGGUGCGAGCGUUGUCCGGAUUCAUUGGGUUUAAAGGGUACGUAGGCGGUGUAUUAAGUCAGUGGUGAAAUGUUCCGGCUCAACCGGGAAAGUGCCAUUGAUACUGGUGCACUUGAGUACUGUAGAGGCAGGUGGAAUUGGUGGUGUAGCGGUGAAAUGCAUAGAUACCACCAGGAACACCGAAUGCGAAGGCAGCCUGCUGGGCAGUAACUGACGCUGAGGUACGAAAGCGUGGGGAGCGAACAGG
rnacentral:rRNA from 1 species